GGCCUUCUGCACUGAGAGAAGCCACCACUCCAGGACCACUUGGGACUGGGGUUGAGACGCUCCCUUUUCAUCACCUGCACAAAGAGGUGGAAGAAGACCUAAAUUUGCCUUCAAAAGUCCCGUCCUGCUGCACGAAUCUGGAUGAGAAGCAACCCAGCUGAGAGGCAGGAGGCCUGGUUUAGACUCAUCAGCUACUAUCUACUUGCUACAUGACUGGAACAAGUUAAUUUACUUCAUAAGCCUUAAUUCCUUCAUCUAUGAAAUGUGAACAACAGUAACUGUUCUACCCCGAGACAGAACUAUGAAAUAAGGUGAAACUAUGAAACAAAUGAAAAACCCCAUACCUGGCACAAA